GAGCCAUUUCCAGCCCCUACAUUUGAUUAUUAAUGUAGCAUUUGAAUUCUUUUGUGUGUUUUAACCAUGUUUAUCUUUGCAGUGCUGGAGGUUCAGCCGAGGACUUCACACAAGCUAGUCAGGUGCUUUACCACUGUGCCAUGUCAACAUCUGCUUUAGCCAUUUCAAAAUGUAGAAACGCUCUUGGCCCAUGGGCGAUAUAGAAACAGGCCAGGAGUGGGCCACACUUGGUGCUUAGACACUAGGAAGGGAAGAAUGAAGACUGGAUGCUGAGCAUAGCACCCCCCCUCGACACUUGUAAAUGUAGUGUUCCCAUACAAAAUGUGACACUGAUUUGUCUUUGCUGAGUAAGCUCUUAGGCUGGCUUGUGUCCCCAGGUCUUCAGAGGAGCAGCUGAGCCAUGCCUACCGCCUGCUAAUGACACAGCUGACCCAGGACCACGCUGAGAUCCGCCUCUCAGCCUUCCAGAUCGUGGAUGAGCUCUUCACCCGGUCCCAUCAGUUCAGAGUGCUGCUUGUUUCUGACUUCCAGGAAUUCCUGGAGCUCACACUGGGCACAGACAAUGACCAUCCCUUGCCACCCCCUCGGGAGGCAGCUCAGAGGCUAAGGCAGGCAGCCAUGCAAGCUGUGGAAGGUUGGAAUGAGAAGUUUGGGGAAGCCUAUAAGAAGCUAGCCUUGGGCUACCACUUCCUAAAACACACCAAAAAGGUGGAUUUUCGGGAUAUAAAUGUUAGGACUCUGGCAGAAAGGAAGCGAGAAGAGGAGAAGCAGAAGCACUUGGAUAAGAUCCACAGAGAAAGUGCUGACCGGGCUAAGAGGGAGAUGGAAGAAAUGUCUGAUGAAAUUGGAUGCUGCCUGACAGAAGUGGAGAACUGCUUUAGGCUGCUGGUGCCCUUGGAUUUGGGCCCGUACCGAGAGGAUAAGUUCUUUGGUGAGGCAUCUGGCAUAGCAGAGGACCAUGCUCCUUGCGCCUGGAGCCCAGACCUGGCAACUCCCCGAGGGUCUGGUCUCUCUGGACCCCAGGAUGAAGAGCAGCCAUGCUGUAGCAAGGACCUGGUUGCCUCUGCACACCAUGCAGGAUCUGCAGUUGGUCUGAAGGCACCAGCCCCAGCAGCCACGGAAGACCCCUGCAGGGAUGAAGACAGACACAGCGAACACAGCGACCCAGAGGAUUUCCUGCGGAGCCAUGGGCUGGGCUCCCACAAGUACACGCUGGACGUGGAACUCCCCUCAGACGGUCUGAAGGUACAGGAGAAUGAAGACAACCUGGCCGUGCUCCACGCUGCUCGAGACUCGCUCAAACUCAUCCAGAACAAGUUUCUGCCAGCGGUGUGCUCCUGGGUCCAGCGGUUUACCCGUGCAGGGAUCUACAGUGGACAUUUAAAGCAGGCCAUUGACCUGAAAAUGGAACUGGAACUUGCUCUGAAGAAAUAUGAAGAACUGAACAUUGAGCCUGGGAGAGGACAAAGGAGCAGGACAGAAGCACUGGAGGACAGUGAGGAGGAGGACCAGGACUUCGUGGAGGUUCCAGAGAAAGAGGGUUACGAGCCUCGAAUCCCCGACCAUCUACGAGCUGAAUAUGGUGAGUUGUGGGCCCACAAAGGCGGGACUGCGCAUCAAGGGUACUGGAGAGACAGGUUCCACUCUGGACAAUGCCUCUAGGUUGUGACAUUGACCCAGGGAGGUUAGCCGUCAACUUCCCUUGUACAGCUGUUGUGUCAGUAUUUGUUGCUUGUAUUUAACUUGCACAGUUUCUCUUUGUGCCCUGAGUCACCCUGUGGCCAGGACAUGGCAGGACAUCACACAGGGCCUUCUGGGCCAUUUGAUGCUCUGGCUGUGGGUCAGGGAUGCAUGCAGUCUGCUGGGGAUGCCUUUGUCCACAUAGAGCCCACACCAGGGCAGAGAAGAGGCAGAUAGCGAGAUAAAGGAAUCCCGGCUUCGUGUCUGCGAGGUCGCAGACAUGGCCUCUGAAACAGGAUUGUCUGGGCCCCAAGCAAGAAGCAGUUGUCACACAUAGAGCACUACUGUGACAGACAGGCGCUUCCCAUGAGGAGCCUCCUCUUUUCCAAGAAGGCUCUAAGAGCCGCACUCUGUACCCUAGGCUUGUGCCCUCCAGAGAGAAAGUGUAGACUUAGAGGGGAUCCAGGACCCAGGUCACAGCCUCAGGUGACCUGAGGCACCACUUACGCCAUGAAGAUGCAAGGAAAAACAAGUCAUCUAGCGUCUGUGGGGAGUACACAGUGGACUUGCACUGGUAUUAUGGGGUGUAAUUUGAAUCUGUUAAGAGAGUUUAGAUGAUUAGAUGACUUGUGUGCAAAGCUAUGACCCAUUAGGGAGAGGUGUCAAGCCAAAUUAGCCUAGGCAGACCCACCCUUAGUCCUCAGUCCUUUGCCUAGUGCUGUCUCCUGGGCAGACUCGGUGCUUGGGGACCAAUGAGUGUGUGGUUGUCAGGAGGAAUCUCCCACACUCAACGGCUACUGGUGACCCCUUGGCUGAGCACAGUGGCCUUGUUUGGCCUACGCUUCAGAAGCCCCAAUAUUCUGAUGCCCCAGGGAAGAGCUCCCUGCCUAGUAGAGCUGGCCUCUUAUGCCCGAUUGCCUCACCUGCUGCUUGUGGGCAAGCCUGCCAUGCUGCGUUUUGAAACUGUUAGAGUUUCUCUAGGCCUCAGCCUCAUGAUGCUCUCUUCAGCCUGCAAACCCCAUGACCUUCCAAACCUCUACUCACAUGCUUCUCCAAGCACCAAUCUCCACCUGAGGUGGAUUUUAUUGUCUCCCAGCUUACCUUUCUACCUGGUAGGAGAUACAUCAUGGCCAACACCAGCAAGUGCUUCAGAUAUACAUGGGGUGACAUGGCCAUCCUCCUGUGCCCAGGAUGGUCUUUACCUCCUAUGUCUUUACCCUUGCCUGGAUGAGGUCCUUGUCUAGCAAGGUGCUGGUGUGGCUGUGGUGGUAUCUGAGGCCACCAGACUGAAAUAAGGGCAGUGAGGGCAGGUGAGGCAGGGAUACUUCUCAGGGUCCAGGCAGUGUGGCUAGCACCCACCUGUGUACCUGGGUUCUUCCUUUUGCCCUCCUUGGAAGCCACACUUUUGGUUUUAAGCUGGGGGACUGACUUUGGCUCUUGGAGUCUCCAGGGCAUCCUGGGAGCUAGCAUUGAUUCAGGGAUCAUGAUUGCACCAGAAUUUUUUAGCUUGGGCCUUUGCAUCCUGUUCUGAUGUUCCAUAUCCUUCCAGAAGACAUGGUAAGUCUGACUCUGCACAGGUUUUGAACAGCUACAGGUUGUAUCCAGCAGCGACAAGCCAACACCAGGGAUUAUCCUCAAAGAACAAAGCAGAUUCCUUUCAUCCUAGGAUGCCUUUGGCCCAUGGCUUGGGAAUGGCUAGUGAUGGUGCCAGUGAGGACAGUGUUCAUAGAUGCUUCCUUAAUGUCACGCUGGAAGAUAGGAACACACAGUGAAACCCUUUCCAGCCGCCAGUGGAAAUAGAGAUGGCUAGAGAAAUCCCUUCUCUCCUGAUCAGAGAUAGCCCUAUGUCUGCCCGUGUCUAGGCGGCUUCUGCCUGUUGGCCUUUUGAGUCCAGCAAAAGGAACUGAGUCAUAAAAGCGCUGUGAAGCGUCUCCCUCCACACUCGCAGGACACUCUCUGGGACACCCGUGAGCAACCUGCUGUAAGGCUACACAGGGAAGUCACAAGUGGCUCUGGUCUGGCACUUACAACUCACAUCUGCUUGUGGUCAUCCCAGCCUGCCUCAGGCCCCACCACAGAGCCGUGCUGCCCUGCUACCUGUUCCUCAUGUAGACUAGUCCAUGCUUUUCAAUAGAAGGCUGCAGGUCCCACUACUGCAUGUUGGGCCGCUUCUUACACAGGAGCAAUAACUACGUUGUCCAUAACUCCUGCACCAGGGCCCAUCAUCCUGUGUCACUGUCUUCAGAGCCUUCCACAUACACUAAGCUGCUAAGGGGCCUCAUCUCAGCCUAACAGAGAGCGGAGACAUUGCUGGCUUGCUCCAUUGUCUGGAGUGUAGCCCUCUCUUGGAGGGCUCUAGGCAUCUGUUUUAAACCUAGAAGGCAGUGGUGGCCGGUAUGGACUGAACCAGCUGCUCUUUGGUAUUUUCCAAAUGGCAUCAAAUAGAGAACCUAGCAGUCUGGGAGGGUUGGCAGGGCGUACAGGGAGACCCCACAUUAAGUACAUACAAUCUGACUGUUGGUGCCACCACUGGGCUGAGGGCCACAGGAACCAAGGAGGGUUUGGUGAGCCCUUGAGGCCAGCAACAUAUCAACACCUAGAAUUCCUGGAGUGUUCACAGGAGGGGCUGGGGCAGGAGGGACACUGGCCCAUGGGCAGGACCUGUGGCACGGAUAGAAAGAAGGUGGGAAUCCUUCAUCAUCAUACCAAAUGGAGACUCCCUUGAGAGCAGCAGCCGAGGCUGGAGGCUCCGGGCAGGCAAGCAGGCAGGCAGGCAGGCAGGCAGGCAGGCAGGCAGACAGACAGACAGACAGACAGACAGACAGACAGACAGACAGACAGUGUGCAGUGAGUUCAGUUCAUAAUGCUAGUUUAUAGUCCAUCACUGUUUUUCCAAUUAAACACAGGCGAAUCUGAAGUGUUAGACUCAGUCUAAAUCCACACGGCUGAGGAAAUCAGGCUCUUUUUUCUUUCUCAUUUCUUUCUCUGAAUUUUCACUGAGGGGCUUUUAUCUUCCCCUUAAUCCUACCAUUUCUGUCAGGACAUAAUCUCUUUCUCAAAUUUACAUUUUAAUUACAAGGCCAGCUGAACUAGGUAAAAUCAAUAGUGUCAGCGCGCGGCCGCCUAACUUUGUGCGGAGCCCCAGCCUCUCCAUUUCCUCCUAUCGAUCCAUCUCUCCCGCACUGUCUGCUUUAGUGCUUCAGGCAAAUAGGUGCCACUUGGCCAAUUUAAACAAAAAAAGGAGCUUUGGACAUUUUUAUGACUCUUUCUAAAAGCCACCGUGGGAGUAAAUUUUGGCCAGGGGACUACUAGAGUCAGGCCCUGUAAGGCAGCAGGGCCAUGGUGGUCAUCAGGGUAAUGUCUCAUUCUUUCAGGGUCAUGCACCCUCCAGCCUGAGGAGUGUGCUCUGGUUUUUGGGUUUUAACUUUGAAAAUAUGUCAGUGAGAUUGAUUUUCUACGAUGGUGUGAAAACAGUGGUGUGUUCAGUGCCCUGAGUGUUUACCCUGCUCUAACACGCUUACCCAUCUUCUUAAUGGUUUAAAACAACAAAUCAAUGAAAAAUAUAUUUCAUUCUUGUAACUCUUAGGAAUUCUCAUAUUGAUCUUUUGGCUGCGAUUGUAUCUAUCUAAAUGUCACAUUGUUCACUUACCAGCCUUGGCUCCCUGCUGUGUAUGCAUGUAUGCAGGGCUCGGCUAACCUGCUGGCUUCCAUAUUGCCAGUAACAUAGACACUGGGGUCAUAUGUUUGCCACCGAAACCUGGGACACUGGUUUUUGUUGUUGAUUGUUGUUUGUUGUUGUUUGUUUGUUUGUUGUUGUUGUUGUCUUUGUUUUUUCAAGGCAGGGUUUCUCUGUGUAUCUAUCCGUGGCUGUUCUGGAACUAACUCUGUAGCCCAGGCUAGCCUAGAACUCAGAGAUCCACCUGCCUCUGCUGCCAAGUACUAGGACUAAAGUUAUGAGCCACCACUGCCUAACAUGGGACACUGUUUUUACACUUAGACCAGAGGAGGGGCAGCCUGGUAUCUUCUGAUACACAGUGUGGCCAAACCUUAGGACUACAGAACUCCAGAGCCUGGAGGUAGCUGUCUGUGACUCCACUACCCUCUCAGAGUGGCCCUGCUGUCAUCCUCUGUUCCCCACCCAUGAGGAUCCAGGAGUCAGGGGCCGUCACUUAUGCUCAGGGCGAUCGAAAGCAGAGACAAGUGUUCCAUAUAGACCACAGAACAGUAAAUAUUUUGGCUUUCUGGGCUGCAUCAGGUAUCUCAUAGCCACCCUGAAAGUAACACCAGUAAAGCACAGAUAAAUGGCUGUGUCUAGGACCAGUAAGACUUGUAGAGAAACAGGCAGCCAAGCAGAUUUGUCCCAUUGCCUUCAGGGCCCCGGAAGCCUCAAAGAGCAGCUGGUCCUUUCUGUGCCAUGUCAGGCUGACCUUGGCUACAGCAAGUCCAUGAUGAGCCGAGAACUCCUAGUGACUUAGGGCUGUGGCCUCUCAGAGCUGUAGGCUUUGCCAUCCCAAGGCCUCAGGUAGAGUGCAUUGGCCUUCCUUGAUGGGUGUCUCUUUGUUGCACAGACUUCAACUUGAAAUCCUCCUUCCUCAGGCCUUCUGGGUACUAGACUCACGUAACUAUAUCACAUGCCUAAAACACUCAUUGACCUUGAGUCUAGAUAGUAAUGCACAAACUUAGCUUAGCAUUUUAAAGCUUGAUUUAGGAUCUUACUUUGUAACCCAGACUAGCCUUGGCCUUGAGAAUCUCCUGCCUGAGUGCCCCAAGUGCCCUCCUGGACGACAAGUGAGGUCCACCUUGUACUUUGACUAUUAGGCGAGGUUCCAUCCACAUUUGUCACACCCUCCUGUAUUCUUUAUACUAUUUUUAAACUUACCUACUUUCCUGGUAUUAACCUGUUUCUUCAGAUGUCUUUUGAUUGUUUCUUAACUUUUUUAUUUUAGCC
rnacentral:lncRNA from 14 species